AACGAACGCUGGCGGCAGGCUUAACACAUGCAAGUCGAGCGCCCCGCAAGGGGAGCGGCAGACGGGUGAGUAACGCGUGGGAAUCUACCCAUCUCUACGGAAUAACGCAUGGAAACGUGUGCUAAUACCGUAUACGUCCUUCGGGAGAAAGAGUUAUCGGAGAAGGAUGAGCCCGCGUUGGAUUAGCUAGUUGGUGGGGUAAAGGCGUACCAAGGCGACGAUCCAUAGCUGGUCUGCGAGGAUGAUCAGUCACACUGGGACUGAGACACGGCCCAGACUCCUACGUGAGGCAGCAGUGGGGAAUAUUGGACAAUGUGCCCAAGCCUUAUCGAGCCAUGCCGCGUAAGUGAUAAAGGCCCUAGGGUUUUAAAGCUCUUUCACCGCUGAAGAUAAUGACGGUAACCGUAUAAUAAGCCCCGGCUAACUUCGUGCCAGCCGCCGCCGGAACAC
rnacentral:rRNA from 1 species